rnacentral:rRNA from 1 species
UUGGAGGGCAAGUCUGGUGCCAGCAGCCGCGGUAAUUCCAGCUCCAAUAGCGUAUAUUAAAGUUGUUGCAGUUAAAAAGCUCGUAGUUGAAUUUCGGGAUCAGUUGGUCGGUCGUGCCUUGGUACGUACUGGCCAAAUUGAUUCCUCCCUUCUGACGAACCACGAUGCCAUUAAUUUGGUGUCGUGGGGAAUCAGGACUGUUACUUUGAAAAAAUUAGAGUGUUUAAAGCAGGCUCGCGCUUGAAUACAUUAGCAUGGAAUAAUGAAAUAGGACGUUUUUGAUUCUAUUUUGUUGGUUUCUAGGAUCGACGUAAUGAUUAAUAGGGAUAGUUGGGGGCAUUAGUAUUCAAUUGUCAGAGGUGAAAUUCUUGGAUUUAUUGAAGACUAACUACUGCGAAAGCAUUUGCCAUGGAUGUUUUCAUUAAUCAAGAACGAAAGUUAGGGGAUCGAAGACGAUCAGAUACCGUCGUAGUCUUAACCAUAAACUAUGCCGACUAGGGAUCGGAUGAUGUUAAUUUUUUAAUGACUCAUUCGGCGCCUUACGGGAAAC